rnacentral:tRNA from 1 species
GGAGAGGUGGCUGAGUCUGGCUUAAGGCGCUCGAUUGGAAAUCGAGUAGAGGGUUUAAAAGCUCUCUCGCGGGUUCGAAUCCCGCCCUCUCCGCCA